rnacentral:lncRNA from 1 species
GUUCUGCCCUCGUGAUAUCAGGAAGUAGUUUAAAUUUUCAGACAGCGAAAAGUUCUGCAUUUAUAGAAAAGUAAAUGCAACUCCUCAGGGAAUUAAACAGGAUAUUCUUUGUAACUAAACUCUAAGACUGGUUUCAUAGAUGUAUAAUAUGUUGUCUCAAUCACCUUGCCAACAUGGUAGAGAUUUCUCCGGGAGAAUUCAAGUGGGAAGCUAUAGUGUCUUGAGGGAAGGAAAGAAUAAAAUUAAACCUGAUCUACACUGGAAUAUUUAACUACGUAUUUAAGAUACGUAGGUCAUUUUUCCAGAAACAGCUGUAUCGGUAUAGGCCCUACUUUAGAUGUAGUUAUACUAUUAUACUAUUAUAAAUGUGCCUUAUAGCAGUACCGCGUGACUUCUUGAACUGGUUAUCACUGUGUUUACACCUAGAGGCCACAUCCAGAUGACUGCGUCUGCCAUACAUUCAGCUGUUCUCCACGCUGCAAGGGAGCAGCACGGAGGGGGGGGGGUUUGACCCCUGGAUAACCCCCACACAAAAAAGCAGAGCGGUUUAUUCAGGGGCAGCGCGUACCACUCAGAACCGGAGCCUGGCCAGCUGGAGCCACACUGGCUGCUGGCCAGGUUCCAAGCAGCAGGAUCACUGCUACUGCAGCCCCCUGAAGGUCCCUAGGAUCCCAGUUUCAGGGAAUGACUGUGAAAGCAAAUUCAUCAAAGGAGGCAGCAAUGUAACCAACAUGAAAAAAAAACGAAGGCAAUCAACAGUAAGAAAAUGGCACCGGGAUCUGGAUUCUUCCCUCACAUAUACACCUGUAACUCGAGUUGAUUUCAGUGGAAGAAGCGCAUGUCUAUGGUGUGAGACUGAGAAAUGCUCUUUGGUGUCUUUAAUGUGGUUUUCCUUUUCUCUGCAAGAACAGCUCCCAGCACUUAACCCCCCAAGAAGCAGUCAGACAGCCCAAUAAUCUUAAAUAAAUGUAGGCCUGUUUAAUAUAGAGGGAAAAUC